GAGUUGGUCAUUAUCUGAUGAGGAGAGUGAGCUUUGAAGAAGUUAAAUAAAUUGCCCAGGACCACACAGGCAGAAUCAGGACGUUAACCAGCACAGACUGAAUCUCGAGUCCACACUGUGCUGCAUGGCCACCCUCUGGAGGCCUGUGAUGUCCCCUCUGACUGCUGCCCUACAGCCAGCAGAGACGAUCACUGAACCCAGGCACUUGCACAGCCCAAUGCUGAAGAAGGCAGGUGUGGAUGCAUGAAUGAAAGGUGAAGGAGCAAGAUAUAUCUGUAUUUGUUGAUUUAUUCAUCUGCAACAAUAUAUUUGCUGAACGUGCCUCCUCAACUGGUGAACUGUAAUGGGGGAGGAGAAGACAAAAGAAGGCCAACUGGAAGAAAUGAAAAUGGUGUGUCUCCUUAAGGAGGUUGGAUCCCAGAGAAGGAAGAUAAUGGGAGAGAGAGAGGUGUGGCUUUUGUUGGGCUUCCUCCUAACUAUCCAUUUUGGUGAUGGCUGAGUGUGUCCUGAAGAGAAAGGAUUACAUGUAACUCAAACCUGAUCCACAAAACUUCUGUAGUCCAAGCAACUUCGUGUGAGACCCUUUAAAAGAGCAGACCACAAAGUUAGGAUGCAGUGGCUAUACAGCCGAGCUGACCACUGAGCACAGGAGACAGAGC
rnacentral:lncRNA from 10 species